rnacentral:rRNA from 1 species
UACGUAGGGGGCAAGCGUUGUCCGGAUUUAUUGGGCGUAAAGAGCGUGUAGGCGGCCAUGCAGGUCCGUUGUGAAAACUCGAGGCUCAACCUCGAGACGCCGGUGGAAACCGUGUGGCUAGAGUCCGGAAGAGGAGAGUGGAAUUCCUGGUGUAGCGGUGAAAUGCGCAGAUAUCAGGAAGAACACCCGUGGCGAAGGCGGGUCUCUGGACAACAACUGACGCUGAGGAGCGAAAGCGUGGGGAGCGAACAGG